AUGACCUCCGACACUGCACUCACAGCAUCUUAUGCUGAGUUUGUCACCGCACUUGGAUUUCUCGACACUGGGUUGAAAAUCCACACCAAUGACCCCAACCAUAAGCCCAAAGGCAUUGCGGUCUGUGCGGAUCUCCUUAGACCCAUAUCAUCUUUGUCUAGUACUGAAAAACAAAAGGGUCUAAAUCAAGUCUCCAUUUGGCAUUUUCCAUUCAACAUCAUUUAUCAGUGUGCCAUCCGCACCAUUUAUCCCAAGAUGGGUGACAAGGGCUCCUGCAGCAGCUACUGCAUUGAUCUCAUGCAUCGCCUCUACACAUCUCCUAAAGGGAAGAUAAAUGUUCCACACUUUCUAUGGCAUGAGAUUCGCCUUGCUAGCUUUCAGCACAAGCAGGCUUUCCCUCAUGCACCUUUUCUUUAG
rnacentral:rRNA from 1 species